rnacentral:rRNA from 1 species
AUUGAACGCUGGCGGCAGGCCUAACACAUGCAAGUCGAGCGGAUGAAGGGAGCUUGCUCCUGGAUUCAGCGGCGGACGGGUGAGUAAUGCCUAGGAAUCUGCCUGGUAGUGGGGGAUAACGUCCGGAAACGGGCGCUAAUACCGCAUACGUCCUGAGGGAGAAAGUGGGGGAUCUUCGGACCUCACGCUAUCAGAUGAGCCUAGGGCGGAUUAGCUAGUUGGUGGGGUAAAGGCCUACCAAGGCGACGAUCCGUAACUGGUCUGAGAGGAUGAUCAGUCACACUGGCACUGAGACACGGUCCAGACUCCUACGGGAGGCAGCAGUGGGGAAUAUUGGACAAUGGGCGAAAGCCUGAUCCAGCCAUGCCGCGUGUGUGAAGAAGGUCUUCGGAUUGUAAAGCACUUUAAGUUGGGAGGAAGGGCAGUAAGUUAAUACCUUGCUGUUUUGACGUUACCAACAGAAUAAGCACCGGCUAACUUCGUG